rnacentral:rRNA from 1 species
AUUGAACGCUGGCGGUAUGCCUUACACAUGCAAGUCGAACGGCAACACGCCUUCGCGUGCCGUCGAGUGGCGGACGGGCGGAUAAUACAUGGAUACGUGGCCGACUGCGGGGUAGAACGAGGCGAAAGCUUGGAACAUACCCCAUACCAGCUAAGGACCAAAGGAUGGGAGAGGAAGACCUCACGCGGUCUCACCGGCGGAUGGCCGAUUAGGUAGUUGGCGGGAUAACAGCUUACCAAGCCGACGAUCCGUAGCUGGUCUGAGAGGAUGAUCAGCCACACUGGAACUGAGACACGGCCCAGACUCCUACGGGAGGCAGCAGUGGGGAAUUUUGGACAAUGGGCGCAAGCCUGAUCCAGCCAUACCGCGUGGGUGAUGAAGGCCUUCGGGUUGUAAAGUGCUUUUGUUCGGAAAGAAAAGCUUCAGUCUAAUACACUGGGAUCAUGACGGUACCGAAAGAAUAAGCACCGGCUAACUUCGUG